rnacentral:rRNA from 1 species
ACGAAGGGGGCAAGCGUUAUCCGGAAUUAUUGGGCGUAAAGAGUGCGUAGGUGGUUUUUUAAGCGAGAGGUGAAAGGCAAUAGCUUAACUAUUGUAAGACUUGCGAACUGGAAGACUUGAGUGUAGGAGAGGAAAGUGGAAUUCCUAGUGUAGCGGUGAAAUGCGUAGAUAUUAGAAAGAACACCAAUGGCGAAGGCAGCUUACUGGACUGUAACUGACACUGAGGCACGAAAGCGUGGGGAUCAAACAG